UACGGAAGGCAGCAGGGGGAAUAUUGCACAAUGGGCGCAAGCCUGAUGCAGCCAUGCCGCGUGUAUGAAGAAGGCCUUCGGGUUGUAAAGUACUUUCAGUCGUGAGGAAGGUGUUAAGGUUAAUAACCUUAGCAAUUGACGUUAGCGACAGAAGAAGCACCGGCUAACUCUGUGCCAGCAGCCGCGGUAAUACGGAGGGUGCGAGCGUUAAUCGGAAUUACUGGGCGUAAAGGGCACGCAGGCGGUUAAUUAAGUUGGAUGUGAAAUCCCCGGGCUUAACCUGGGAAUGGCAUUCAAGACUGGUUAGCUAGAGUCUUGUAGAGGGGGUAGAAUUCCAUGUGUAGCGGUGAAAUGCGUAGAGAUGUGGAGGAAUACCGGUGGCGAAGGCGGCCCCUGGACAAAGACUGACGCUCAUGUGCGAAAGCGUGGGGAGCAAAC
rnacentral:rRNA from 1 species